CUCAGAUUGGGCUCUUCCUAAGACUGGUUACCCUGCCAGGCCCAAUCCUCCAACCCCAAGGAUGCCAGGGGAAACAGGCACAGUGCCACUGCGUAUCUCUUGGGAGAAAGAAGCCACUCUCCCAGGCAUGGACUUCACAGCCUUCUCUUUAGGCUGAUUGGGCCAGCUUACAACCUGUGUCCACACCGGAGCUACAGCGGUUAAAAGAAACAGGAGAGCCCUCAGUUACGGAAGAAAGCAGACCCGACAGCCGUGAA
ensembl:lncRNA